UUUUAACUUUUAUUGAUAUUUUAUUUAGUUAAGGAAUCUUCGAGUAAUAGUUAAAAAAAAUCUUUCGCAUUCUAAUUCUAUAGCUAAAUCAUGUGUUGUUGCUAUAUUAUAAACUUUCGUGCAUGAGCCAUUUAAAUCCGUUUGCAUUACUUUUUAGUUGUUUCCCCUGGAAAAUUCUCUUCUUGCUAGCCUUCGCCGAGUUAUUCAACAACAUCGCUAUAUUGCUGAUUUUUGCUGUUGUUUUUUUGGUUAAAGCUGCAUGCUUUUGUUGGAUAAUGUUUAAUUUAUCAUUCACGUUUUACAUAUGAUUCUGUUUAAACCAUAUUUAAUCGAUGUUUUGGUGAAUUUCGCGCAUGCUUAACUUGCCUGAUUUCGGACGUAAUUUACUUUCGGAUACAUGCUCCUCUUGUGUUUUUUUUCGAUGUUUUCUUAUGUAUGCAGAUUUAAAAAAACAGCUCAUGCUUAAAUGUGUUAUUGAGCAAGUGACUUCUUUAUACUAUGGCAGGAAUAAAAAAACUGUUAUAAAAUUAUAAAGGAAGUUUAGUUACAUGUAUAAACUCACAGUCACAAGUGUUAACACCUGGCGCCGUGACCUGGAUGCAGAUUCUAAGCAGAUGGGCCAAAAUGGGGGCAGCUAGAGAGACUCGCCUGGAACUGACAAGCCUGGAGGGAGCUGGUUGACUGUUGGCGAGAUGGGACAACAGACGAAGAAUAAACGAACCUACUUGAUUUGAUAAACAUUUUUAUGUUUUUCAGUUUCGUCGGAAGACAUUUCCCACCAACCAUCCUGUCUUGAAAGAAAUAACUUUUGAACCCGAUUAUCUGAUAUUUUCCAGUUUCUCCUCACAACAAUUUGCAUCAAACCUCUUGUCUGCUCCUCAGCUGAAAUCAUCAUCUAGCAGUCACAAUAGUUGAGCGGUUGGAGAGGCAUGCAUUGCGUCCUACUACUGCUCAGACUAUAUUAUGUUUGGCAGACAAAACAUGCUGAUCAAAAAGAAUGUUUACCACAGGGGCCAGUGUUUCCAUUUGAGUGAUUGACAAGAAGAAGAAGAGAUGAGAAAUGUUAUCAUCAUAUUUUAGUCCCUACAUUUAUAGUGUACAGCUCAAUGUAUUGAACCGGUGUUGUAGAAUAUAAUUGGAGAUACAUUUGAACAUUAUAACAUUAUAUAUAAGAUGAUAUUUCAAAAGCAAUAAGAAAUAAAAAGUAUAAAAAGGUCAAAACAGUAAACCGUGUGUUUACAGUGGACAGGUUUAAAGUGGAAGUGACUAGUUAAUUGUUGAUCAUAAGCUGCACUGAUGGAAAAAAUAGUGGGAAAUUACUAUCUAGAAAACUGUUUAACGUACGACAACAGUUGUGGAACUUCAUAAAUGACCGUAUGUAACAGGGCUGGGCAGUUUUCCUUAUAUAGCUAUAGUGAAACCUUUUGAACACUAGUGAAGUCACUGUUUUUUUUCCAAUCUUCAUGCAUUUUGGUCGAAUAUUUGUUCAAAUGAUGGCUCAGUCCAGUUUCGAAAUUUUUAUGUCUAUUCAAAAAACAUAUCCACUAGAGCACGAGGCAAUUGUCUUUAUAUGGCUAUAAUGAAACCUUGUAAAUUCUCUAGAAGUGACAUUUUUAGCCAUAUCUCCAUAAAUUUUGGUCAGAAUAUUUAUUCUAAUGAUAGCUCAGUUGUCGAGUUUGUAACUGGUUCCGGUUUGUAGACUAACAUGGCUGCCAGUGGACAUGACAGUUUUUCUUAAUGUGCUAGAGUAGAACCUUGUUAACACACAAUUGGCCUUUUUUAUGUGCAUUUUUCAUGAAAGAUGAUCAGAGCAUUUGGCCCAAUGUAAUCUCAGCUGACUUUGAAACUGGAUCACAUAACGUCAAAAAGUCGGUCAAAAUGCCAAAUUAAAAAAAGCUUGUAAACACUGGAAGUUGCAUUUAAAAUUGUGUUCCUUUUUUAUGUCCCCCACUAUAGUAGUGGGGGACAUAUUGUUUUUGCCCUGUCUGUUGGUUGGUCUGUUGGUUGGUUGGUUUGCGCCAACUUUAACAUUUGCAAUAACUUUUGCAAUAUUGAUGAUAGGAACUUGAUAUUUUGCAUGCAUAUGUAUCUCAUGGAGCUGCACAUUUUGAGUGGUGAAAGGUCAAGGUCAUCUUUCAAGGUCAAAGGACAAAUAUAUGGGUCAAAAUCGCUCAUUUAAUGUACACUUUUGCAGUAUUUCAAUAUUCAAGAUAGCAACUUGAUAUUUGGCAUGCAUGUGUAUCUCAUUGAGCUGCACAAUUUGAGUGGUGAAAGGUUAAGUUCAUCCUUCAUGGUCAGAUGUCAAAUAUAUGUGUCCAAAAUCGCUCAUUUUAUUAUACUUUUGCAAUAUUGAAGAUAGCAACUUGAUAUUUGGCAUGCAUGUGUAUCUCAUGGAUCUGCACAUUUUGAGUGGUGAAAGGUCAAGGUCAUCCUUCAAGGUCAGAGGUCGAAUAUAUGUGGCCCAAAUCGCUUAUUUUAUGAAUACUUUUUCUAUAUUGAAGAUAGCAACUUGAUAUUUGGCAUAAAUGUGUAUCUCAUUGAGCUGCACAUUUUUAGUGGUGAAAGGUCAAGGUCAUCCUUCAAGGUCAAAUAUAUGGGUCAAAAUUGAUCAUGUAAUGUCACUUCUGCAAUAUUGAAGCUAGCAAUUUUAUAUUUGAAAUGCAUGUGUAUCUCAUGGAGCUGCACAUUUUGAGUGGUGAAGGGUCAAGGUCAUCCUACAAGGUCAAACGUCAUAUAGGGGGACAUUGUGUUUCACAAACACAUCUUGUUUAAAGUUUGUCAAAACAUUUGCUGUAAUGAUAAGCAAAGUCAAGUUUAUAAAUAAUAAUUUGUCUACAAAUUACAUAUUUUUCAUUAAGUUCAUUUAUUAUUCUAAACUACACCCUCUCAGAAUAGUUUAGUUACUUCUGGUCACAGUUGAGCACCUUAGGGCUCUUGUUCUAUAAUUUGAUUGUUUUGGAAAAUUGUCAUUUUGCCAAAAUGUGAGCAAGUCCAAAUUUAAUUAACCCUGCUUUGUAGUAUCUUGUUUUCCUUAUAUGUUAAAAGUGGAAAAUUAUCUAUGAAUCUGACUGCAUAGAUAUUUGGUAUUCAGCAAAGCAUCGUGUAAAUGUAGUAAAACUAAACACAAUUGUGUUAGCAUAAAACUGGCCAUGCCAUGGGGGUCAAAUGGUUAAUACAGACUUGUAGGAAAAUUUUUAUCCGUUAAAUAUAUUUUGUGUACAUAAUGAUUAGCUUUUUCCUUCAACUUAUC